CGGAGGGAGCUAGCGUUGUUCGGAAUUACUGGGCGUAAAGCGCGCGUAGGCGGCUUUGUAAGUUAGAGGUGAAAGCCCGGAGCUCAACUCCGGAACUGCCUUUAAAACUGCAUCGCUUGAAUCCGGGAGAGGUGAGUGGAAUUCCGAGUGUGGAGGUGAAAUUCGUAGAUAUUCGGAAGAACACCAGUGGCGAAGGCGGCUCACUGGACCGGUAUUGACGCUGAUGUGCGAAAGCGUGGGGAGCAAACAGGAUUAGAUACCCUGGUAGUCCACGCCGUAAACGAUGAUAACUAGCUGUCAGGGGCCAUGGGCUUUUGGUGGCGCAGCUAACGCAUUAAGUAUCCGCCUGGGGAGUACGGCCGCAAGGUUA
rnacentral:rRNA from 1 species